rnacentral:rRNA from 1 species
ACACUUCCCAAACCCAAUGUGAACGUUACCAAACUGUUGCCUCGGCGGGAUCUCAGCCCCGGGUGCGUCGCAGCCCCGGACCAAGGCGCCCGCCGGAGGACCAACCAAAACUCUUUUUGUAUACCCCCUCGCGGGUUUUUUUAUAAUCUGAGCCUUCUCGGCGCCUCUCGUAGGCGUUUCGAAAAUGAAUCAAAACUUUCAACAACGGAUCUCUUGGUUCUGGCAUCGAUGAAGAACGCAGCGAAAUGCGAUAAGUAAUGUGAAUUGCAGAAUUCAGUGAAUCAUCGAAUCUUUGAACGCACAUUGCGCCCGCCAGUAUUCUGGCGGGCAUGCCUGUCCGAGCGUCAUUUCAACCCUCGAACCCCUCCGGGGGGUCGGCGUUGGGGAUCGGCCCUGCCUCUUGGCGGUGGCCGUCUCCGAAAUACAGUGGCGGUCUCGCCGCAGCCUCUCCUGCGCAGUAGUUUGCACACUCGCAUCGGGAGCGCGGCGCGUCCACAGCCGUUAAACACCCAACUUCUGAAAUGUUGACCUCGGAUCAUGUAGGAAUACCCGCUGAAACUUAAGCAUAUCAAUA